rnacentral:rRNA from 1 species
UACCAGCACCCCGAGUGGUCGGGACGAUUAUUGGGCCUAAAGCAUCCGUAGCCGGUUUUACAAGUCCUCCGUUAAAUCCAGCUGCUUAACAGAUGGGCUGCGGAGGAUACUAUAAGACUAGGAGGCGGGAGAGGCAAGCGGUACUCAGUGGGUAGGGGUAAAAUCCGUUGAUCCAUUGAAGACCACCAGUGGCGAAGGCGGCUUGCCAGAAUGCGCUCGACGGUGAGGGAUGAAAGCUGGGGGAGCAAACCGG